rnacentral:rRNA from 1 species
GAUGAACGCUGGCGGCGUGCUUAACACAUGCAAGUCGAACGAAGAACUUUAUUUGAUUUCCUUCGGGACUGAUUAUUUUGUGACUGAGUGGCGGACGGGUGAGUAACGCGUGGGUAACCUGCCUUGUACAGGGGGAUAACAGUUGGAAACGGCUGCUAAUACCGCAUAAGCGCACGGCAUCGCAUGAUGCAGUGUGAAAAACUCCGGUGGUAUAAGAUGGACCCGCGUUGGAUUAGCUAGUUGGUGAGGUAACGGCCCACCAAGGCGACGAUCCAUAGCCGACCUGAGAGGGUGACCGGCCACAUUGGGACUGAGACACGGCCCAAACUCCUGCGGGAGGCAGCAGUGGGGAAUAUUGCACAAUGGGCGAAAGCCUGAUGCAGCGACGCCGCGUGGACGAAGAAGUAUUUCGGUAUGUAAAGCUCUAUCAGCAAGGAAGAUAAUGACGGUACCUGACGAAGAAGCACCGGCUAAAUACGUG